CCUACGUGUGGCUGCAGUGGGGAAUCUUCCGCAAUGGGCGCAAGCCUGACGGAGCAACGCCGCGUGAGUGAUGAAGGUCUUCGGAUCGUAAAGCUCUGUUGAUGGGGACGAACGUGCCGAAUGCGAAUAGUUUUAGGUAAUGACGGUACCCAUCGAGGAAGCCACGGCUAACUACGUGCCAGCAGCCGCGGUAAUACGUAGGUGGCGAGCGUUGUCCGGAAUCAUUGGGCGUCAAGGGAGCGCAGGCGGGCAGGUAAGUCUUUCUUAAAAGUUCGGGGCUCAACCCCGUGAUGGGGAAGAAACUAUAGGUCUUGUGUACAGGAGAGGAAAGCGGAAUUCCCAGUGUAGCGGUGAAAUGCGUAGAUAUUGGGAGGAACACCAGUGGCGAAGGCGGCUUUCUGGACUGCAACUGACGCUGAGGCUCGAAAGCCAGGGGAGCGAACGGGAUUAGAUACCCUGGUAGUC
rnacentral:rRNA from 1 species